rnacentral:lncRNA from 1 species
CCCUUCCCUUCCCUUCCCUUCCCUUCCCUUCCCUUCCCUUCCCUUCCCUUCCCUUCCCUUCCCUUCCCUUCCCUCUUUCUUUUCAUUCGACUGUCUCACAGCCAAUACAGAGUAACCUCUUCUAGACUGGGAGGGAGUUCAGGAACAGCUAUAAAAUAAUUGGUGUUUUAUAUUCAACAAUAAUCUUGAAUAAUUUUAAAAAUUGUUUUUCAAAUAGGCGAAUCUGGUGGGAAGCAUCAUUUUAUAAAUGACUAAAUUGAAGUCACAGUAGAACAAGCUUGUGUGGUUGGACAUAUUCAAAAUAAUUCAGCUUAAAAACAGUGAGUUUAAUUUAUACACAAACCAUUCAGGAAAACAGCACAAUUCACAGAUAGCUUUCCAAGUUUACAGAAGGUUUCAUCUGAAAACCUUGGAUGAAUGCUGUUUAAACCACACAGCUGUACUGACCAAAUCCACCUCAUUUCCACAAUAUGCACAGACAAGAACAGCCUUCCUUCUGCAUUGUUUUGCUUUCAGUUCAUUGGAUUGCUCAUCUCAUUACAGUGAUGAGCAUCACAGCUGAGCAGUGAGCAAACCCUUUGUCUUAGACUGGGUUUUUCUUUUUGUUUUGGUGCGGUUUACCUCUAAGUAAGUUGGAAGUGUUACCACAGGAAGGUGAGGGGAAGAAUAUUUUUGGUAUUAGGACAGCUUGGCAUUCAUUUUCCAUGUGGAAUAAAGGUAUAUGUUUUGCUACAGAGCAGUCACCGUAGAUCUUAAUGUCCUUAAUGUUUUCUUCUCUAUUAGAAAAGCAAAGAUCAAGAAGGAAAAUGAUAUGUUAAGGAACACGAUGGCAGCAACAGCUUCUCAGUAGGAAUGCAAUGGGCACAUUAGCUUUGCUUCCCACACAGGUGAGAUCCAAGGUAAACACGAAGUGAUUGUGUGUGCAGAUUUCCUGGAGUCUUUGAAAUGAGUGCGUUUCAGAGCAGGGUUUCCAGAUGCUGCAAUUAAAUCUUGAAAGGUUCUCUAAAACAUUGAUGAAUCUUUACAAGGGAAUGCAAAUCAGCACAGCUAAGUGGGAAAGUGGAACUUUUUUUUUUUGUGUGCUCUCAGCACUUUGCUGUGCUUGUUUCUAAUACAUAAGAGCAACGUUCAUGCUGAUCGUGUGAUAUUAUUUCACUGUCACUUCUUAAUACCCGAUUAAGCUCAAACAUUUGGCUAUUCUUGACCACACAAACUCAUGCUGCAGUGGAGGGAGUUAUUAAAAUGAAGCCCUCAUUGUGUUACAUAGGACAGUUUAACCACUGCUUCUAGAAAGUUAUCAAAAGGACACGUCUUGCAGUAAGCUUGAAAAUACUCCAAGUACUGAAGGACAAGGAGGCAGCGCUGUGUUCAGUAGACACCUUUCUGGCUCUAUCUUGGAUUUGUUUGCAGACUUAAUGGGAUAAAUUAUGCCCAUCUUCCAUCGUGGAUGAAGAGUUCCUGGUGCAUCCCCGCGUUCUUCACAGUGUGUCGUUUCAUUGCUGUCUUCACACGAGAUCAGGACAAGAAAUGGGAGCAGAGGAUCCCUUUUUAUGGGAUGUGUGACUUUUUCCAUAGUGCACUCCAGCAGAGCUGCUUUGAUCCUGCCUACCAGAAAGAUGACCCGCAGAUCUUAAAAGCUGUUUGCUCAGUUUAAGGUCAUUACCUCUUGUCCCGUGACUACACUCCCUGAUAAAGAGUCCUUCAGCUUCCUCAGCCUUUUUUGAGCAGUAUAGAACAUGGGCAACCAGAGGCUGUCUCAUAUUCGGGACCACCAGGUAUGAUGACCACACUGAUGGGAUAUUUCUGGGGCAAAGACAACCUACCCAACUGGAAACACACGUAUAUCGAGAGUGGCUGCUCUUGUCAAAAACUACAGUGGACUGAUUUCACUUUCCAGUGGUGGAUGGAGCAUCUCAAACCUUAGACAGAAUCCCAUCCCCUCAUCCUCCCUGCACAAAACCCCAUCUCCCCAUGGGAAGCAUGCAGGACAGAUUUCUGCUCUUUGCUGAUGUCUUUGUCCGGGCAGCUCCUCAUAGCAGCCUGCAGCUUCCUCAUGGCAGCCUAUAAGCGAUAGCCUGAGCCCUUUCAUUUCUUGUUAGCAAGCCAUAUUAGUCCCUAAAACAACUCCCCUCCACUUGCUCACCUUGAACUACAAGAACUCAUUUCUCGUUCAUCCACACAGCAUCAUAAACAGAGCCGCAGUGGCAUGAGGGGACAGCAGCAUGGGGGAAAAUGGCUCUCUUUAAUGAGAUGCAUCCCUGUCUUGCCACCCCUCCAUGUGCCCCACUGCCUCCCUCACCCUCUGCUAGGUCUGGAUCAGAAGCAGAGCACGUCUCUCCAUUCCUUUCCAAGAGACGGACCCCUGCAGAGGCGAGGAGAUUAACACCGCUGGGCUGUGCCAAACGGCAGGCUGAUUCCUCAAUGUGGGUCAUGUCCCAUGGGACCGGAGCCAAAAGCAAACCAGUCUGUCAUUGCAGAGUAUUUAUAGGAGGGCUGAACCUACCCCGCAGCCCCUGCACGGCUUCCCCACCCUUCUCAUCCGCUUGCUGAAUGCUUAAAUUUGAAACAGUUGUUGCAUGUUGUUUUAUGGCUGCUGGGGUAUGGCUGGCUGUCUCCCUUAUCGGUGUAAAACGGGGAGCUGUCAAGUGGGAGGGAACGCAUGAGUGGUUUGGUUGAAGUUUUUCAUUUCUUCUGUGCUUCUGAUUCCCCCCAAGCUGGCUUGGUUUGCAAGUGGAGACACCAGGAAUGGGUUGUAGUGGGAUGCUCUCGGCGUUGAUCCAGGGAGGACUUUCUGGUCCGAUGAGCCUGGACAUUGAAGUCCUCUGACAGAGAGCCAGAGAUACUUCAGGAGAAGAGAGGGCUUAUCUGGAGAAGAGGAGGCUCAGGGGAGACCUUAUCACUCUCUACACUACAGCUACCUGAAAGAAGGUUGUGGUGAGGUGAGGGUCAGCCUCUUCUCCCAUGGAACUAGCGAUAGGAUGAGGGGAAAUGGCCUCCAGUUGCACCAGGGGAGGUUCAGUUUGGGAGUUAGGAAACAUUUCUUCUCCAAAAGAGUGGUCAGGCACUGGAAUGGGCUGCCCAAGGAGGUGGUUGAGUCACCGUCCCUGAAGGUGUUCAAGAAACAUCUAGAUGUUGUACUGAGAGACAUGGUUUAGUGGGGAAAUAAUGGCGGUAUGUUGAACUCGAUGGUCUUGGAGGUCUUUUCCAACUUUGGUGAUUCUAUGAUUCAACUUUGCUCUGAGGUGCUCUGUCAGCAGAGCCUUCCUGCCUGUCCUCCAAUGAGUUUGGAGAGAGAGAAGUAUUUACACACUUCUGGAGAAGAAAACUGGAGAGAGAAGUCCGAUGGGGAUAGUGAGGUGGAGACAGACCGAAGAAGUUUUGAGCACAGUCAGGUUUGGCUUUAGAAGGCAAAAGACCCCAGUUCAACAUUCUCCAUUCUGCAUCCAAAGAGGAAAGGAAAACCAUCUUCAUGUGCAGGAGAACAUGAACGCCACAUCACUGGAUUGGAAUAAAUACCAACAUAAACUCUGUGGUGAUCUCAAACCUCACAUGGUCCCUUUUCUCUCUUAUUCCACCAACUCACCAUAAAUGCUGUGUUUUAUUAAGGUCGUAGCUUCACCUGGGGAGGAAGUAUCUAGGGUUUGAAACCCACUAAGAGAUGUAGAGGAUCAGUGUUGGUGAGUUUAUCCCUGUCUGCAGAGAGGAUGAAAUGUCUAAACUGAGACAGGUAAGAACUGGAAUCUGAUGGAAGACAGGGAAGAGAGGAGAACAAGAAAACUGGAAAAAGGAGAGAACUUCUAACCUACAAUCACACUGUCCGUGCUGGUUGAAAUCCAGGUAUAAACACACCCGUUUCCUUAUGUUUUACUUUUCAGAACAUGUCUUGAAGACAGAAACAGGGGUUAGAAGAGCAGAUUUUACUCCUGUGAUUAAGAUGUGCACCAUUUGACUUUGGGUUGUAAAGAAAAAGAAGAAAAAAUAAAACAAGGGAAAAAAAAAAGAGUAAUGCUUUACUAAUUAAGGCACAAUUGAAAGUGAUUGGUGUGCACUGGCAAGCUGCUCCUCUCAGAAAGAGCUGGACUGACAUCUCUACAAUCACUCAGUGAGUAAGCACUGCGAAAACACUGUUUGGCCUGGAAGGAGCUAAUAAGUGCAUAGAUAAAAUCUUAUUUUGAAAGCAACAACAAAGGGCAUGUGAUUUAUAUCUUAGUUGGUGACUUCAUAUGUUUUGCAGAGUUUCUCCAAAAUAUAUCGGAAUUCAUAAUUCAUUUUUAUAACGCAUUACAUUAAAAUAAUAAAUGUCAGGAAGUUUUUCAAGAGACUGAAAAUUCUGUAAGCAGUGCUGAGUGAUCAAAGGAGGAUUUUGACAGGGAGAGACUCCCGUUGACUUGGGGCUUUGGAUCAGACCUGACGCUGGCAACAAAAUGGACAACAGUUAAUAAAAGUGUGCCUGUUAGAACUUGGAUAAGUUGGAGCAGCUAAUUGCAGCAUCUCAACACAAGUUGGGGGAAGAUGCAUGCUGGCUGGAUCCUCACCGCUGCACGUGAUGGGAUGCUGUUGCUCGUCUACAUGGCAACAACCACGGAUGAGCCAAGACAAAGGAAGUGAUAGAGGAGGUGGAGGAGAGAGCAGGGAUUAGAGGGCUGGAGGAAAAACAACUUUCAGGGGGAGAAACCAUUCCAAAACCUACAUUUAUGCAAGGAAAAGGACUGCUGAGUUAAAAGUAGUAUAUCAUUUCUGGACUUUUUCAUUUCCUACAUGUUGGAGGAGUUAUCUCUGUGUGUUUCCAUUCUUUUUCUUAAUGGAGGCAUAUAUGACGUGUUUCUCACUCAUUGUAGUAUUUCAUGUUUUCAUGAGUGUUAACAAAAGCAUGGGACAAAGCCAAAGAGGUAACUACCCACCAUACCCUAGUGCAGCUGUUUCACGUUUAUAAAACUCAUGUAUCACCAUGCAGAAUUGGUCAGUGUUUUGCCUGUCUGUACCUGCAGGGAUGUAUUUUGCUGCAAAAUGCCAUUCAGGUUUGUGGACCACAAAAUGGAGAUGGAGAUCCCACAACUUCAGUUGUAGAGCAACCAGAACUCAUUCUCUCCUCACACAUCUAGAGCUCCACUCCCAGCCAUCCUAGUGGCCUUGCUGGGCUUUUUUCUAACCAUGCUGGUGGCCUUGCUGGGUGUUUUCCUAGCUCCUGGUACUAGGGAGCUCAAGUCCAGUGCCCAGAUGUGAUCUCAGGGUCUGAGUAGAGGGGAAGAAUUAUAUCCCCUAGCUUGCUAGCUGCCCCUUUGCAAAUUCACCUCUGGAUGUGAUCAUCCUGUGCUGCAAGUGUGGAGACAUAGUAGUGAGGACCUCAUAGUCUACCAAGAUGCCCCUGGUCUAUCCAGAUGGUCCCAGCUUGUGCUGCCACAUGGGUUAUUCCUCCUCAUAUACUGAACUCUACAUUUCUCUGCGGUGAACUUCUUGAGAUUCCUGCUAAUCCUUCUCUCCACCUCAUUUCUUCGAAUAGCAUUGCUCCUCUGCACUGCAUCAAUCACUCCUUGUUUGUGUGUCCUCUGCAGACUUGCUGAGAGGGCAGCCUGUUCACUGCCUAAGGGCUGCUUGAGCUGCCAGGUAGCUCCACAAUGACAUCCUUUGGAAAUGUGCACCACCUCCGACUUGAUCAGCUGGGCUGUACAACCUUAAUGGUAUAGAAGAUUCCAUGCAGUUUCAAGUCGUCAUCCAACUUUUAGAUGCAAGAUCUAAAGGCCCAUGUGGUACUUUAAUAUCUUGAUGAUUUACAGCUGGGAUUGAGACUUUGUCCAAACUUUCACUCCAUUUGUAUAAACCUUUCAUGCUGAUUGAGAACUCUGCAAAUGAAGUCUCUGACUUUUAUUUACACUUUAUGAAAAUUGAGUUGUUCUCAAGUGACCCUACAUCUCACCUCAGAGUGGUGAAAAUUCACAGCCACGGAGCGUGGAUUCAUGCAGACUGAGGGCUCAGUUUGUAGAUCUGAAUCUACAGAUAUUCAAAGAGAUUUUUCCCAGGGGAAAACAGUCAAAUGUGGAUGAUAAAAGUGAGUGAGUAAUGUACUGAGAGCAUAUCUUCUUACUGCAUUUGCUCGGAGUGUCUGUUUAUGAUGAAUGUAAAGCAGACCCAACAGCAGAGUUCAGUUAGGGGUGUGCGUUUAUGUGCUGGGAUUUUAUGUCUAACAUGGCCUGUUAGGCUUUUUGAAAAGGAAAAACAUAAAACCUUGCCUGUUUUCUUAAAAAAAUGCAUUACUGUACUGCUCUUCGUGUUUUAAAGUACUGAUAAAAAAAAAGAAAGAAAGAAAGAAAGAAGUUGUUUAUAUUAUUUGUAUUACCUUAAGCCCCAGGAAGAACAGACACAACUCCAUUUGCAAGCAAAUAUAGCUUGUGUUGGAUUGAAUAGCCCAAGAAGGUGUCAUUAUUCGUUUCUCAGAAUGCAUCAGCUUAACGUCUUGCUGAGGUUCACAUACAAACCCUACAGCAAAGCUGGACCUGCGAGCAGAACAGCUCCUGCCAAGAAAACAAAGACCGUAUCAGCUGGAUGGUAGGUGCCUGUGAUGUGUGAGGGAUAAGCAGAGAGCUGUGGAAAGAUUUCUGAGAAGGAACCACAUCAGUGUGCUGGGCCAGCGCUCCCUUGGUGCCUGAAACCUCCAGCUGCUGAUGUUCUGGAGUGAGAAAAUGGGCAGAGAGAUUAUUUUUGAAUUUUUGAGGGCUGGUUUUGCAUCUUGGCCCAUCUUUUUCUGGAAACGGUUAGUAGUUGUAACUGACUCCCAGAUGUGUGGCUAAAAUAAUUUGCUUUUAUUAAUAUUCAGAUAUGAGAAUCCAGAAAUAAAGUGGGGAAAGAUGUUAAGGGCAGACUAUUGCAAGUUUUCUUGCCUUUUGCCUUGAAAAUGCUUGUGCAGGCCCUAGCUGGAGGCAGGUUCCAGGAUGUAGAAUCACAGAGUCAUUAAGAUUGCAAAAGACAUCUAAGAUCACCAGCUGCAACUGCUGACCCAUCCCCACCAUGCUCACUAAACCAACCCCUCAGAACAUCUCCAUGGUUGAGCCCUUCCUGGGAUGGCGACUCCACCACUUCCCUGAGCUGCCUGUUCCAAUGCAUUGCCAUCAAUGCCAUUUUGAGUUGGGAUGGUGCUUCUUAACUUUGCCUGGGCUCAAGCCUG